UUAUAACUCCAUUGCCUUUGGAGAAACAUGCAGCUGAGGUGUAUACCAGAAAAAUGUUCUACAUGUUCCAGGAUGAGGUGUACAAGGCUUGUUUCAGAUGUGGGAUUAGUUCUAUUAGAAUGGAAGAAAAUAUUGAAAUCGCACAAGUCAUGGACCAUUCUCGACAGAAAACAAGUAAGGUAACAUUUAAUUCUGGAAAUCUCAUGACAUCAUGUUCUUGCAAAUUGUUUGAGAGAUUGGGGAUUUUAUGUAAACAUGCAAUAUGUGUUUUAAAUGCAAGACAAGUUACAAAGAUUCCAGAGUACUACAUUCUUGAUCGAUGGACAAAAGAGGCAACCAAAAGGCCAAUUUUUGAUAUGCAUGGUAACUUCCUUGAAGAAUGUAGGAAGAUGAACACAACAACUAAAAUGUUAGGGGAAGUCUGGUCGGAGAUUUUUAACUGUGUAGGCCUUGCAGAGGGAAAUGAGGAAAAUUUGCAACAAUUUCUCGAUAAUCUUAGAGAUUUUAGUAAGAAUUUGGUAGAAAAAGGAAAGUGUGUGCCAAUGACAAAAACUCAAGAGAUGGAGCUUUUUGUUGGUCCUAGUGCGUCUUCUAACCUCAAUAUCCAAAAUCCAAUACCAUCAAAGAAUAAAGGCAAGAGACAUAGAAUAGUAGGAGAAAAGGAGGCAGCAAUUGAGCAAAGUCAGAAACCCAAAAGAAAAUGUAAAGCUUGUGGGGCAUAUGAUUAUCACGACAGUCGUAACUGCCCGAACAAAACUACAACCUAAGCAAGCCUACUAGAUGAUAGGGUAACCUUGUUUUCACAAUGCCCCAACUUACAAACCCCUCUCAAAUCUCCUGUCUGGUUUAAUCUGAUGCCACAACAUCAACAUCAACAUCAACAUCACAGGUAACUAGGAAUCUAGAAGCAGUGGACAUAUUUAGGCACGUAGAUGAUCGUCAAGAAGCUGCUGAAUGCUUAGCAAGGGAAGCUUUGGGAAGAAUGAGCAAAAGCAACAUAAACAUUUCCUGCUUAGUUAUUCUUUU